ensembl:lncRNA
AGCAGAACCUCAUUUCUAUACCAGAAUGUCUCUGCUUUACUGUCUACAGCAGGAGGAAAAGAAUCAGCACCACUACCUCACUGGCCACCCUGAUGGGGAAGACUCAUCUGACCUCUCUUCACUUCUCUUUCAUUUCUUCCUGCCGUAACAAACCCUUGCCACCAAAAUGUAGCUGGAGAGGUGGAUCAGAAGCGGCUGCGAGGGAAAGAGCAGUUUAGGAACACUGGGUGCUGUAAGUGAAAGCAAAAGCUCCCAAAGGAACCCACCUUUGAACUUCCAAUCAUACACAAGGGCUUAUGCCUUGGCAUUUGACUUUUUGAAUUGCGAGGAGGAUGACAAAGAAACCUGCAGUGAAAAUCAGUCUGCACACCUCAAGUUGUUCAGCUCUUGACUGUAGGAAGAAGAAUGUGGCAAAGUUUUAAAUCUUGUGAUCAGAUUUAUCUGAGCAGCGACGGGGCUCACCCAGAGGGUGGUGGAAUGUACAGGAACUAUGGAAAGAAGUCCAUCCAGCACUUGACUGAUUACUUAGAAGAAUUAUUACAGAAUUUCUACAUAGUCCUAUGUCUUAUCUCAGGGACUGUGCUAUACUUCCAUUCAAUCAGAGACACACAGUUAUCAUACAUCCGGUCUGAUCAAAGCUGCAGUCUGUGGCAUGAUUGAUAUGCAUCUGAACCAGCUUUGGAAGGAAAGUGCAAAGUCCAAAAGCUGUAGGAGCAAUAAAUGAGAC